CUCCCCAUGUGCAUCAAUGAGGCUUGGGUUCCCAUGACCCUGACAUCAUUUGUUGUCCUUCCUUGCACCGGUUUCAGUAGGCACUAACCACUGCAUACCGUGAACAUCCCAGAUGACUUCCCAUUUUGGUGAUGCUCUGACUCAGUCAUGAACUCAUCACUAUUUGGGCCUUGUCAAAGUCACUCAGAUCAUUUUGUUUGCUAAUUUUUCCUGCUUCCAACACACUUCACCUGUUAGUGGUUUUAAUGUUGUGGCUGAUAAGUGUAGAUUUAUGAAUUUGACGGUUUGAGUCACUUGAUGAGAAUCACCUAAUAUAACUCUACGAUGACACAGGAGAUACACAGUGGAGUUCCUUUG